AUUGAACGCUGGCGGCAUGCCUUACACAUGCAAGUCGAACGGUAACAGGUCUUCGGAUGCUGACGAGUGGCGAACGGGUGAGUAAUACAUCGGAACGUGCCCGAGAGUGGGGGAUAACGAAGCGAAAGCUUUGCUAAUACCGCAUACGAUCUCAGGAUGAAAGCAGGGGACCGCAAGGCCUUGCGCUCACGGAGCGGCCGAUGGCAGAUUAGGUAGUUGGUGGGAUAAAAGCUUACCAAGCCGACGAUCUGUAGCUGGUCUGAGAGGACGACCCGCCACACUGGGACUGAGACACGGCCCAGACUCCUACGGGAGGCAGCAGUGGGGAAUUUUGGACAAUGGGCGAAAGCCUGAUCCAGCCAUGCCGCGUGCAGGAUGAAGGCCUUCGGGUUGUAAACUGCUUUUGUACGGAACGAAAAGACUCUGGUUAAUACCUGGAGUCCAUGACGGUACCGUAAGAAUAAGCACCGGCUAACUACGUGCCAGCCGCCGCAGUAACAC
rnacentral:rRNA from 1 species